rnacentral:rRNA from 1 species
AUUGAACGCUGGCGGCAUGCCUUACACAUGCAAGUCGAACGGCAGCAUGGAGAGCUUGCUCUCUGAUGGCGAGUGGCGAACGGGUGAGUAAUGCAUCGGAACGUACCGUGUAAUGGGGGAUAACGUAGCGAAAGUUACGCUAAUACCGCAUACGACCUGAGGGUGAAAGCAGGGGAUCGCAAGACCUUGCGUUAUACGAGCGGCCGAUGUCAGAUUAGCUAGUUGGUGAGGUAAAGGCUCACCAAGGCGACGACCUGUAGCGGGUCUGAGAGGAUGAUCCGCCACACUGGGACUGAGACACGGCCCAGACUCCUACGGGGGGCAGCAGUGGGGAAUUUUGGACAAUGGGGGCAACCCUGAUCCAGCCAUGCCGCGUGAGUGAAGAAGGCCUUCGGGUUGUAAAGCUCUUUCGGCCGGGAAGAAAUCGCACAGGCUAAUACUCUGUGUGGAUGACGGUACCUUCAGAAGAAGCCCCGGCUAACUACGUGCCAGCCGCCGCCGUAA